rnacentral:rRNA from 1 species
UACGAAGGGGGCUAGCGUUGCUCGGAAUCACUGGGCGUAAAGCGCACGUAGGCGGCUUUCUAAGUCAGGGGUGAAAUCCUGGAGCUUAACUCCAGAACUGCCUUUGAUACUGGAAAGCUUGAGUCCGGGAGAGGUGAGUGGAACUGCGAGUGUAGAGGUGAAAUUCGUAGAUAUUCGCAAGAACACCAGUGGCGAAGGCGGCUCACUGGCCCGGUACUGACGCUGAGGUGCGAAAGCGUGGGGAGCAAACAGG